GCAGUCCGUCCCAUGGACGCACCUACGGUCCCGGGCGGCGUCCGGCUACGCUGGCGAGGUGCGCCUUCCCCGAGAAGGACGCAAAGCCGACAGCCGUCGCAUCCCUGGGAGAUCAUCCAUG
rfam:Streptomyces albus subsp. albus strain NRRL B-2513 B2513contig692.1, whole genome shotgun sequence.